CAGCCGCCGCGGUAAUACGUAGGGUGCGAGCGUUAAUCGGAAUUACUGGGCGUAAAGCGUGCGCAGGCGGUUGUGUAAGACAGGUGUGAAAUCCCCGGGCUUAACCUGGGAACUGCGCUUGUGACUGCACAGCUAGAGUAUGGCAGAGGGGGGUGGAAUUCCACGUGUAGCAGUGAAAUGCGUAGAGAUGUGGAGGAACACCGAUGGCGAAGGCAGCCCCCUGGGCCAAUACUGACGCUCAUGCACGAAAGCGGGGGGAGCAAACAGGAUUAGAUACCCGUGUAGUCCCUGUCUCUUAUAC
rnacentral:rRNA from 1 species